UACGUAGGGUGCAAGCGUUGUCCGGAAUUAUUGGGCGUAAAGAGCUCGUAGGUGGCCUGUCGCGUCGGCUGUGAAAACUCGGGGCUCAACUCCGAGCUUCGCAGUCGAUACGGGCAGGCUAGAGUUCGGCAGGGGGAGACUGGAAUUCCUGGUGUAGCGGUGAAAUGCGCAGAUAUCGGGAGGAACACCAAUGGCGAAGGCAGCUCGCUGGGCAUUAACUGACGCUGAGGAGCGAAAGCAUGGGGAGCGAACAGG
rnacentral:rRNA from 1 species